rnacentral:rRNA from 1 species
CGUUCUGUAAGCCUGUGAAGGUGUGUCGUGAGGCAUGCUGGAGGUAUCAGAAGUGCGAAUGCUGACAUAAGUAACGAUAAAGCGGGUGAAAAGCCCGCUCGCCGGAAGACCAAGGGUUCCUGUCCAACGUUAAUCGGGGCAGGGUGAGUCGACCCCUAAGGCGAGGCCGAAAGGCGUAGUCGAUGGGAAACGGGUUAAUAUUCCCGUACUUGGUGUUACUGCGAAGGGGGGACGGAGAAGGCUAUGUUGGCCGGGCGACGGUUGUCCCGGUUUAAGCGUGUAGGUGUGUGUUCCAGGUAAAUCCGGUUCACUUUAACACUGAGGCGUGACGACGAGGCACUACGGUGCUGAAGCAACAAAUGCCCUGCUUCCA